AAAAAAGGAAAUUUCAUAUCAAGAAUUUCGCAACAUUUUGGUUACAUCAACAUCGUCAUGCCGAGUGUUAUUCGGAUAUCAGUUUUGUCGACGUUUUCAUCGAACUAUUAGAUUGAGCAUUGCUGGUUUUUGGUGUUUAUAUGCCAAUUAAAUUGAAAUAAUUGCAGCGAUUGAAUUUUUGUUGAAGUGAGUUUGAAUUGCGUUUACAAUGGGACGAAAAAGAAAAGGAACUGGUCGUAUUUUCGGCCCUAGGCCAAAAGUUCGCAAGGUUUGAAGAUAAGAGAAGAAAAUGAGAAGGCAAAACGAACGAACGAUUGGACAUUUUUCGACGAUGAAUUUCCUUAUUGCUUCACCAAGAUGACCUAUAUGUCUUUCCAAUAAGCUAAGAAUGACGUGAUUCUGUUGAAAAACACCCCGUAUACCUGUUGUCAAAAAUGACCAAAAAAUUGAAAAAUUGCCGAAAAUUUUAUUAUACUUCGGAAUGAUUUUUUUUUUAAAUUCGAAUUUUUCCA